GAUGAAGAACGCAGUGAAAUGCGAUACGUAAUGUGAAUUGCAGAAUUCAGUGAAUCAUCGAAUCUUUGAACGCAUAUUGCGCUCUCUGGUAUUCCGGAGAGCAUGCUUGUUUGAGUAUCAGUAAACACCUCAACUUCCAUAUCUUUUUUGAAAUGGGAGUUGGACUUGAGUGAUCCCAACGCUUUUCCUCACCGAAAAGUGGCGGGUUACUUGAAAUGCAGGUGCAGCUGGACUUUUCUCUGAGCUAUAAGCAUAUCUAUUUAGUCUGCCUAAAAAACAGAUUAUUACCUUUGCUGCAGCUAACAUAAAGGAGAUUAGUUCUUGUGCUGACUGAUGCAGGAUUCACAAAGACAGGCUUCGGCCGACUUUGUAAACUCGAUCUCAGAUCAAGUAAGACUACCCGCUGAACUUAAGCAUAUCAAUAAGCGGAGGA
rnacentral:misc_RNA from 1 species